rnacentral:rRNA from 1 species
UACGUAGGGUGCGAGCGUUGUCCGGAAUUAUUGGGCGUAAAGGGCUCGUAGGCGGUUUGUCGCGUCGGGAGUGAAACUCAGGGCUUAACCCUGAGCCUGCUUCCGAUACGGGCAGACUAGAGGUAUGCAGGGGAGAACGGAAUUCCUGGUGUAGCGGUGAAAUGCGCAGGAUAUCAGGAGGAACACCGGUGGCGAAGGCGGUUCUCUGGGCAUUACCUGACGCUGAGGAGCGAAAGUGUGGGGAGCGAACAGG